rnacentral:rRNA from 1 species
GCAAUCAUACCAGCACUAAUGCACCGGAUCCCAUCAGAACUCCGAAGUUAAGCGUGCUUGGGCGAGAAUAGUACUAGGAUGGGUGACCCCUUGGGAAGUCCUCGUUUUUCACCCC